rnacentral:rRNA from 1 species
GACGAACGCUGGCGGUGGGCUUAACACAUGCAAGUCGAACGGAAACGCCCUGCGUUUGUGGGCUUCCCGAGUGGCGAACGGGUGAGUAACACGUGAGUAACCUGCCCUUGACUUUGGGAUAACUUCACGAAACUGGGGCUAAUCCCGUAUCGGAUCUCCUGCUGCAUGGUGGGGGUUGGAAAGUUUAGGCGGUUGUGGAUGGACGCGCGGAUUACCAGCUUGUUGGUGGGGUAGUGGUUUACCAAGGCAUUGACGGGUAGCCGGCCUGAGAGGGUGACCGGCCACAUUGGGACUGCGAUACGGACCAGACUGCAACGGGGGGCAAUGGUGGGGAAUAUUGCACAGUGGGAGGAAGCGGGAUGCGGAAGCGCCGCGGGCGGGAUGACGGCCUGUGGGUAGUAAAACGCUUUCGCCUGUGACGACGCGUGAGUGACGGUAAUGGGUAAAGAAGCACCGGCUAACUACGUG